rnacentral:tRNA from 1 species
GGAACUGUGCCCGAAUGCCCAGGGACCACUUUGAUAGAGUGGCUGAUAGGGGUUAAAAUCCCCUCAGUUCUU